CACAAAAUAACAAAGAGAAAGAUGAUUCCAUUCAUGCUGCCAAAAAAAUCAGUGAGUACCUACAGAUGAGGCAAACAUGCCAUGGAAAAAUGGAGUGGCUGGACAUCAAAUGGAAAGGAGGAGUUCUGAAACAUCCAGUCCAGCAGGAUGCCAGUAGCUGUGGGGUCAUUGUCACCUUGAUGGCAAGGGCAAUAGUGAGGGCAUUUCCAGCUGUU